rnacentral:misc_RNA from 1 species
UACAGAGGCCCCAAGCGUUACCCGGAUUCACUGGGCGUAAAGGAUGUGUAGGCGGUUGUGUUAGUCUCCUGUUAAAUCUGUGGGCUCAACCCACAGGCCGCAGGGGAAACGGCACAACUUGAGGACGCAAGAGGCAUAUGGAACUCACGGUGUAGGGGUGAAAUCCGUUGAUAUCGUGGGGAACACCAAAAGCGAAGGCAAUAUGCUGGUGCGCUCCUGACGCUGAAACAUGAAAGCUAGGGUAGCGAAUGGG